rnacentral:rRNA from 1 species
AUGGAGGACGCAGCAACCUCAAAACCUGCUCCAUCCAAUGUUGUUAUCACUCUUCCUGAUGAUGAUGAAGAUGAGGAACCGCUGAAGCACAGAAGGAGUAGGAAAACGUCUGCCGGCAGGGUGCCCCAGGAUGUGACGGUGCCUGAGACUCUGGUCGCGGAGGAGGAGAACACCACUCGACACACUGUGUCCUUCGCAGAUCCACUAACGAGUGCUCUGCAGCCCUCCCUCUUCACGACGCACCACGUCCCAGAGGACCAAGCUGGCGCCGCGAAGGAGGCAAUACGCCAAGCAGGGAUCAUGAUGGAGUAG